rnacentral:sRNA from 2 species
GGUGGGGGUGGCUCUUUGGUUGUUGGACGUGAGGAUGAGGUUUGAUGAGUUGACGAAGGCGUGUGGGUGGCGGCGGCGGUGGUGGGAAUACUCUCCCAUUGCGGUCGUGCUGACGGGAGCUGGUCGUGCAUAUUUGCAGCCUUAUCUGGGACAGUAGAUUUGUAGCUCUCCUCGUUUCUAUUAUUACUAUCAUUAUUGACCGGGGGUUCGUUGGUUGAGAAACGGCUAAUCACUUGCGGGCCAAUAUGAGCUAGCGUUUGUGUUGAACGGAUGGGCAGAGUAGGGCGUUCAGCUUGUCCCUGCGGUUGUGAAGAGGAUAACCUUGUGGGCUUUGCUGGGAGGGGUGGCGCUGGCUUCCGUCGAAUGCUGGACGACACUGUGUCCACAUUGCUGUCUCUAUAUCCUUCGACAGCCCCACUACGAAGAACAGCUGGUUUGGAAGGCCUUAUG